GGUGCGCCCCGCACUGGAGCAGGCCGGCGCGCUCAGGCUUGGUGGGAGCGAUGUGGGCUGUGGGCGUCUGGCGCGCUGCGCUCGGCCGGGCCCCCUGCGGCCGCCGCGCGCAGUCAGCGCUGGCCCAACUGCGUGGCAUCCUGGAGGGGGAGCUGGAAGGGAUCCGCGAGGCUGGCACCUGGAAGAGUGAGCGGGUCAUCACGUCCCGUCAGGGGCCUCACAUCCACGUGGACGGCGUCUCCGGAGGAAUCCUUAACUUCUGUGCCAACAACUACCUGGGUCUGAGCAGCCACCCUGAGGUGAUCCAGGCAGGUCUGCAGGCUAUGGAGGAGUUCGGAGCUGGCCUUAGCUCUGUCCGCUUCAUCUGUGGGACCCAGGUACACAGUGGUGCCCUGGAUGGUAGCGAAAUUUUGACGCAGAGAAGGGAGAACCCUAAGGUGGUGGAGUGAUGGCUCCACCCUAACUCCUCCCUCCAGGUCCUGCUGACCCCCGAGGAUGCAGUCCUGUCAGAUGAGCUUAACCACGCCUCCAUCAUUGAUGGCAUCCGUCUGUGCAAGGCCCAUAAGUACCGCUAUCGCCACCUGGACAUGGCUGACCUAGAAGCCAAGCUGCAGGAGGCCCAG